GAGAGAUAGUUAAGCACAUAGUAUUAAUGAAGUUCCUUUCAAUAUCACCGAUGUAAGUGUCGGUAGCCACUAUGUCUUGAGGAAGCUAGCUGCACAAUCUGUAAUUUACCACUAGUAGAAACAGAGAAACAAUGUCUUGCACAACCGCAUUGUCUUGCCUCCAGAUUCUAUCCACCGGCUUAUAGACAAAGAGGUGCGCAAUACUAUCACUGCAGACGAGAGAGGAAGCCCUUCCUAAGUCUCACGUCCAAGUGGAUGCGUUGAUCAACCUAUUAUCACUAUGUUUUUUAUUCUUUUUUUGCCAUGGUGUAACAUGCUCUAGAUUCUACUUUCUGUAAAUCUCUUUUCAUAUCUAUGAUAUUUAACUUUUAGCAAA
rnacentral:lncRNA from 1 species